rnacentral:rRNA from 1 species
UUCCGUAGGUGAACCUGCGGAAGGACAUUAA